GUGGCCUUGAAUUUUAAGACAAAUAUUCUACACGGCAUAUUGCACAGGAUGGAUGACCCUUAACGGAACUGCCUUAAAAAGGCAGACGUCCUAGUGCCUGUCAUGUUAUAUUAAACAUACAUACACACAAUCUUUUUGCUUAUUAUAAUACAGACUUAAAUGUACAAAGAUGUUUUCCACUUUUUUCAAUUUUUAAACACAACAGCUAUAAACCUGAACACAUAUGCUAUCAUCAUGCCAUAAGACUAAAACAAUUAUAUUUAGCGACAAGUAGAAAGGAUUAAAUAGUCAAAUACAAGAAUGAAAAACGCAGUACAUAGUGUCGCGAACUCAAAUCGGCAUUUAGAUAGAUCCAGUGGUUUAAACGGCACGUUUUUGCUGAUGUGGUUUACAAGUUAAAGCUACAGAAUCCCUUUUUGCUGUAAUUGCACCAGUUUUAAAGCCUCUGGACAGAGCAGUAUUUCGUGGGUGGACACUGGUGGCAGGUUAAGGGAUACUGUCACUUUAAGAAGCCUGCAGAUUGAAGUGUAAACAUGGAGAAAUUAGGGGCUGAUUUUUUAAACUGUGUGAGAUAUUAACCAGCCGCCCUGUUAUAAAAUCAGGAAAUCCAAACAGCGAUUUACACCGAUUAACACCCCCUUUAUAUAUUUUUUACAAAAAUACACUGAGAAAAUAAUCAAACGUUUUCAUCUCUCUUGUACUCUAGCCCUUCAGUGAAGGAGACGUAAAAUGGCGUGGGUAACAACAUGUUUGGCCAGUAUAAAUACGUCCACAUAUAAAAUGGCAUCUGAUUACAUUUACACGUCUUCUCAUUUACACCUAUAAGGAAUAAACACACACACUGAGAAAAAAUUUGGUCCUGAAUUGUUUUUUUAAAGUCCAGCACAGAUUUGAGUUGCGUUUGAAUCCUUUAAAGAGUUAAGAAUGAAAAAAAGCUGGUGAUAAUUUCGUUGUAGGAAUCAAACAUAGCGCCAUCUAUCUGCUUUUUAUAUUAUCCUACACUAUUUUAAAAACUGCUCAACAGUCUUAUACAGAAAUCUUUAAAAGAUAGACAGGAUAACAUGCUAUAUUAACCCCACCAUUGAAAUAAUCCAACACCAUCACGAUUCCGAUUAAGAGAACUUCUUGCUGGGGGUGCAGACAAGUCCGGAAGCUCGUUGGAAGG
rnacentral:lncRNA from 10 species